rnacentral:rRNA from 1 species
ACGUGGACACCUACCCUUAGGUCGGGGAUAAACCCGGGAAACUGGGUAUAAUACCCGAUAGUCCUCGGAUGCUGGAAUGCACCGAGGUCUAAAGCUCCGGCGCCUAAGGAUGGGUCUGCGGCCUAUCAGGUAGUAGUGGGUGUAGCGUACCUACUAGCCUACGACGGGUACGGGUUGUGAGAGCAAGAGCCCGGAGAUGGAUUCUGAGACACGAAUCCAGGCCCUACGGGGUGCAGCAGGCGCGAAAACUUUACAAUGCUGGAAACAGCGAUAAGGGGACCUCGAGUGCCAGGUUACAAAUCUGGCUGUCGUGAUGCCUAAAAAGCAUUGCAUAGCAAGGGCCGGGCAAGACCGGUGCCAGCCGCCGCGGUAACACCGGCGGCUCGAGUGGUAACCGCUAUUAUUGGGUCUAAAGGGUCUGUAGCCGGCCGGAUAAGUCUUUUGGGAAAUCUGGCAGCUUAACUGUCAGGCUUUCAGAGGAUACUGUCUGGCUCGAGGCCGGGAGAGGUGAGAGGUACUUCAGGGGUAGGGGUGAAAUCUUGUAAUCCUUGAAGGACCACCAGUGGCGAAGGCGUCUCAC